GACUUCAUGGCCGAUUGGUUAUAACGUUUGACUAGCCACCAAUAAGGUUACAGGUUCGAGUCCUUUUGUCGGCA